UGUUUUUUUAUUGUUCUAGCAAUUUAUGAUACAACUUCGUCAAAAUUAAUUAUUUUAAAUUGAUACCUUAUAUUAAUGUUGCAGUCAUGCGCCUUUUCGAUGAUGUGGUUCGCUGUGUUCUGUUCUUAACCCACCGUAACGUUCAAAAAAUUUAUGUUAAGUUAAACCUUAACAUUUCACCAGUUUGACAUUUGAAGACAACUUUAUCUAGUGGAAGUAUACAGAUAUACAAUGAUCACUCAAGAUAAACGAAAGCUAAAACAUUAAACAAAAGGCAAAUUGAACCAAUUGCCGUUUCAUCUUUUUACAUUAUUCAAUCAACAUAAACAGAAGGCUUUUAAAAAAAAAAUGGAAGAACAUCCGUGACCAAUUUUGCAACGAAUGGAAAAACUCCUGCUCCAAAAUCUGGAGACCCUGGAGUUUCAGAGGAUGCUUACCGCCAUUAUACUUCUUGGCUUAUUUUAAAUAGUUUUCUCUUUUUAAAAGACCAAAUGAAACUCCGAAAAUUGGUUGGAAGUUUUGACACUUCAUCACAAUUUUGCUUCUCCAGGAUUUUCAUCAGAAGUGUCUCUAGAUGAGACCAUCACUUAAGAAUUUCGCGAGCUAUGUGAAGAUGAAUCGAUUUUGCAACCGAAGAAAGAGCAAAAGAAGAUAACUUCAUCGGAAGAAUUAGUAACU